rnacentral:tRNA from 1 species
GCCUCGGUGGCUCAACGGUAGAGCAAAUUUUAAAGCUCAGUUGCCUUGUAAGCAGUAGGUUGGGGGUUCAAAUCCCUCCCGGGGCU